GUUCACUUGAAAAAUUGUAAAUAAACACAAUAAUAUUUUUUUCCUGAUAGUUUAGAACUUUAUUAUACUGCUAAAGUUGUUCCAAAGCAGGAUACAAUUCAGUUUAAAGCUUCAAAAGAAAGGAAUUUGGGAUGCAACAGAGGUGGAUCCUUCCUGGUGGCCUCCGCAGCAGACACUCCCUGCUUUGUUCUGUUUCCUCAUCUUAGUCUGAUCUGUAGCCUUCCCGUGGGCAUCUUCGUCUGACUGGUUUCCUGCCCUUCACCUGGGGCCAACGAGAGAGGAGGAAAGGCUUAUUCUCAUAUUGAGGCCCCUUUGGAAGUAAUCCUGGGCUGUAGGAGAUGUCAGACUUCACUGCCAGGCAAUGACAGCAAUGGAAGAAGUGAAGGGAAAACAUGCCAAAAUGGAGUGUUCAAGACUUUUCCGACUCAUCUUUGGGACGGGGAUUUACAAAGCAUAAUGAAGACCUCUGAGAAGUUUAAGAUUUUCUCUGCCAAAUAUACUGCCUGUAUUUGAAUAUUUGACAGGGAAGUCAUAUCCAUGAAGGCCACAGUGUCAUGCACGGGGAAGCCACCGCCAGCAGGAAGAAAGCCAUUCCCUGACCAGGUUCAAUAUUGCCCCCAACAGGAGCAUCUCUGCAAUGGUAGGUUUCCUUUACCAUCCGGCAGCUUAAGAGCGGGGAUGCAGUCAGUCCAGAGACAGAACUUCUGUUUUCACAAGCAAAUGAACAAAACAACAAAAACAUAGAAAAAUCAUUGUUCUCUGUCUCAACCGGAGACCCAAACAAAUCCUCUCGGAUUCCACUUGCAGAUUCUAGCUUGACUUUCUCAUUCUUCCUUGAUGUCCUUUUCACACGGCCAUGAAGCACUCUAUGUUGCAGUGAGAGCCAGCUGCAGGGACUUUCCCACCUGUCUCAUGACUCUUGGAGAAGCUUGCCUUUUCAUUUGGCUUUGAGCUGGGCAGGCUAUGGUUUCUUAGGUUUAGCUUUGGGAAGGUGCCCCCUACUGGGGUUUGGUUGGUGGAAGAACUUGAGGACCCAGGCAGGGGAGCUGCAGUAGUUGUCCGUGAAUGUAACCUGGACUUUGGAACCUCCUGGAUGACACAGUUGCUUACCCAUCUCAUUUUCAAUCUGGAAAUCUAGUCAAGCGAUACAUUUCCAGUCCCCUGACUGUCUCAUGACCAACUUGUCCGUGUCAGGCAAAGUUUAGUCCAGAAGGACUUCCAUAAAGUUGUUGACUGGACCCUGUCUCAGGAAAAGUUUAGCGUGUCCUGGCAGCCUUCAUCGCACACCACCAACUCUGAGAGGUCAAGGGUAUUAUGGAGCAUAGUAACGUUCCUAAAACUGACUCAUGAGCCGGCCUGUGAGUAACGGACUCAUCCCUGGUCUCACAGAGAGCAUGUCAAAUGGCCCAAUAGGUGCUUCCUGAGAGUCAGUGACAAGAGGGAUGAGGAAGGGGUCAGUCAUGUAAAAGAAAGUCCACAGAAAGGCCAAGUCAGUUCCAGAGAAACUGUCAGUCUCUCUGCACUUUUCCUACUUGUCCAAAUGUUCCACUCAGCAAUGUAGAUAAAUGUUAUAGGUAGUUUGUUCUGAAAUCACUGUCUGUCAC